AGCGAACGCUGGCGGCAGGCCUAACACAUGCAAGUCGAACGAAGUCUUCGGACUUAGUGGCGGACGGGUGAGUAACACGUGGGAACGUACCUUUAGGUUCGGAACAACUCAGGGAAACUUGAGCUAAUUCCGGAUGAGCCCUUAGGGGGAAAGAUUUAUCGCCGAAAGAGCGGCCCGCGUUAGAUUAGCUAGUUGGUGAGGUAAAGGCUCACCAAGGCUACGAUCUAUAGCUGGUCUGAGAGGAUGAUCAGCCACACUGGGACUGAGACACGGCCCAGACUCCUACGGGAGGCAGCAGUGGGGAAUCUUGCGCAAUGGGCGAAAGCCUGACGCAGCCAUGCCGCGUGAAUGAUGAAGGUCUUAGGAUUGUAAAAUUCUUUUACCAGGGACGAUAAUGACGGUACCUGGAGAAAAAGCCCCGGCUAACUUCGUGCCAGCCGCCGCGGUAA
rnacentral:rRNA from 1 species